ACCAAUAAUAUUUUGCCACAUAGAUCAAGAAAUAAAAGAGUUUAAAUACAAAAACAAAAAUGAAAAAAUGCAAAACAAAAAUAUUUACGCAAGAGACAAAAAUCAAAAAUAUUAUCAUUCCAUUUUGCGGAGCAGUUCCUCUUUCUAAACUCCAUGAUCACCACUCACUCUCCUAAUAACUAUCUCUAUUUCCUUUAAAUACUUUUUGAAGUUAUCCAAUGACCGAUUGUUAACUGACACAUUUUGUCUCUUUCUCUAAUCACAAAUCUGAUGUGGGUAUGGAUUGAUUCUUCCCAAAGGUAAAUAGUUAAUUUGUGUCAUUUUUAUGCUCUUGCUUCAUCUAUUUUCUUCUACGGCCUUUAAUCAAGUGUCACUCUUCGCAUUCAAGGUUUUCUUCAAAAGAUCAAGCUUAUAUUCUGAAAAUAUGAAAAAGUUACUUUCUAUUUUGCUCCCUUUCAAAAAUCUCUAUUCUGGUUUUUUCUAACGUUUAUAUGCUUGAAGAGAUCGUAUCCCAUUACUAAUUAGUAUUGAUUGAUGCAGAAACUGAAAAAUGUAAAAAGAGAGAAACUCCAACGCUUUAUCGAGAAAACUAUCAGCAAACUAAAAUUACAGGUAUAUUAUAGUAUUUACUAACUUUUUUGUCCUAACGAAUGAUCAUAUUUUGCAUGGUUUCCAUGACACUGAUAUACGACAACUUCGUAGAUUUGUUGAAAGGCCAUUUGAAUAGGAAUUAUAUAUUUCUUGGUUUUUUACUAGAAAUGUUGAGAAAAAAAUGAGAACAGAUUCUAAUUCAUAUAACUUUUAAAGUAAAAAACAAUCAUGUUGAUAUUGACUUAUAUAAGUGAGAUUUUAUAUUUCUUGGUUUAUCUAUUACAGUGAUAGGUAACUAAAAUAAUAAUUUGUUUUGAUGUUUUAUAGUUAUUAAGUUUUGAUCAGAUAAUUUAGAAAACAAUGAAAUUGACCCAUGCAUAGCAUGGGAGCUAAUACUAGUAU
rnacentral:lncRNA from 1 species